rnacentral:rRNA from 1 species
AACGGAGGGAGCGAGUGUUACUCGUAUUGACUGGGUGUAAAAAGUCUGUAGAUGGGUAAAUAAGUUUUAAUUCAAAGCGCUCCGCGUACUUAUUAAAAUACUAUUUAUCUAGAAUAAAAAUGAUCAUAGCAGUGCUUUACGUGUAAAAGUGAAAUUUGUAAAAACGUAAGGAACUAACAAUUGGCGGAAGCAGCUAUAAAAUUUUUAUUGACAUUGAGAGACGAAAGCAUAGGGAGCAAACGGG